UAUAUAUAUAUACAUAUAUAUACAUUUUCAUGAGCUAAAAUGUCUCGCUGGGAAGAGCGCCUGCCAGGCUCCUGCCCCUGCCCCUCUGGAAAUCCCUCCGCACUCACAUUAACUGUUGCUGUUCAUACAGACCCAUGUCAGAGCCUUUCAAGAACUUAAAAACUCAUCCAGUCGGUUCCCUCUGCCUUUGAGCAAGAUCAUACCUUCGUCAGCCCAGACAGAUGAGAAUCUAUACUGGUUUUGAAAACCUCUAGAGGAAAAAAAAUUUCACAGCCUUCCUUAAUAACCUAAAUCAGUGCUUAACAAUGCUUACUGCCAGGAAUUCCUUUCUUGCGUAUAAGCUAAAGCUCACAUGCUACAGUUUAAAGGCGUUUGCUAGUCAUCUGUCCUGGAGGAGAUAAAGAACAGCUGGUCACCCACAAAACAUUCCCCCACCAGGAGGAACAAUCUCUACCCUUUCUUUUAAAAAAGUAUUUUUCUUUUUGGCCCUGUCAUCAGAGUAAAUAAUCUUAAUAUGUCCUCAUCAUUUUCUUCAAUUAACGAACAACCUUAGGGCUCUGUUCUGAAAUCUUUUUCACUCUUGCCAUUGCCCUCUUAAGACUGGAGAUGUUUCUCGAAGGGAGGUCCAGGAGUGCUCCACAUGGUUCUCUUGGAGCGCUUACUAACCACCCAGAUUCCUAUGCUUCCCUCGAGAUUCUGUGAAUCAUAAUUUCACCUAUCCAUCUGGGAAUCAGCAUGCCUGACAAAAAUCCCCUAGGUGACUCUGACGCACUAAAAUUUAAGAUCCUUUAGGCCAGACUGAAGCCUGUAUUGUCUCAUGGAUUGAAACGGAAGAAUCACACAGGAGCUUCUAAAAUCCUAAUGCCCAAGCUGUACCCAGGUCCAAUCAAAUCAGAAUCUCAAGGGGUGGCACCUGGGGACGUUUGAUGGCGCCCCAGGCGAGUUCUGAGUGCAGCCGAUAGGCAACCAGCUUCUUCAAGGCAAGGACGGGGUAACGUUUGUAUCCCANNNNNNNNNNNNNNNNNNNNNNNNNNNNNNNNNNNNNNNNNNNNNNNNNNNNNNNNNNNNNNNNNNNNNNNNNNNNNNNNNNNNNNNNNNNNNNNNNNNCAAGGCAAGGACGGGGUAACGUUUGUAUCCCAGCACCUGGGGACACAAAGGCUAACACAGGAACGUCAGUCCUCAGCAUUGACUGAAGUGGGGUUAAUGAGGAGUCAAACGGUAAAAGUGAAGAAAGCCAGAGUCGGGGCUGCCAGAGGGAGCGCGGGCGAGGCCACCUGAAGGACCAAGGGAUGCGCUUGAACCCACAGAGUGUGCCGUGGACAGCCGUGAGACUCUCGGACCGGCUAGGCAAUCCUGCAGCCUCUGCCCCGUCCAGUUAAGGUCUUGACAGCGCUCCGCUGAUGGCGUUUAUUGCAUCCACUUUGAGUCACCAGGGCUUCUCGGUGAGUGCUGGACCUGUAUUGCACACAUGGCUGGUUUCGAGUCCUUGGUCCGCUCCUUAGGAGAGAGGGAUCUUUGGGCAUAGGACCCAAAUUCUCUGUAGCUCACUUUCUUUACCUGUGAAGUGUUAUGAAGAUGAGAGACAGAGCUCAAGGGAGAGAUUGGUAAAUAGGAGUGACCCGAACACUGCUUAGGUGCUGCGGAGAUGGAGAGAACAGAGGCUCAUUGGAGACUUUUAGACAAAAUCAGGUGUUCUUUUUUAAAAAAAUUCUCUUAUAUCACAGGAUAGUUGAUUAAAACUGCUGCAUUGGUUUCAGUUAUAUAGCAAAGUGAUUUAGUUAUACACAUAUCUACUCUAUUUCAGAUUCUUUUUCAAUACAAGUUAUUACAGAGUAUUAAGUAGAUGCUCCUGUGUUAUACGUUGGUCCCCUCCUGAUCAUCUCUUUUAUGAAUAGUAAUGCAUAUAUUUUAAUCCCAGCCUCCUAAUUUAUCCCUUACCACCGUCGUUCUCUUUGGUAUUGUAAGUUUGUUUUCUAAGUCUGUGAGUCUGUUUCUGUUCUGUAAAUAGGUUCAUUUGUAAUACGUUUUCGAUUCCAUGUAGAAGUGAUAUCGUAUGACAUCUGUCUUUGACUGACUUCACGCACUAAGAUCAUUUUUAGGUGCAUUCACGUUGCUGCCCUUGAACUUAUUUCAUCCCUUUCUAUAGUUGAGUAACACUCUGGAUGUGUGUAUGUU
ensembl:lncRNA